UACAUGAACUCCUAGGUCAUCUGAAAAUCACAACUAAAAGUUCCACAGUGGGUGUGGGAGAGCAACCUGAAGGUCGAUGGACGGAAAGACUGGGAAACUGGUCAUGGGUACGGCAGGCGCGAGAAACCUCAUCCUCAAAGCAGAGUUCUGUCUGAAUUAUCUAAGUGGAACACAGUGCAUGGUGAUGUUGUUGACAACAGAGCAAGAUACUGGUUACCAGUUGCUCCAGAGAGAAUGACGACAUCCGGUGGGGAAGAUUGGAACACGCAUGCGGAAAUGGUCUUCGGUUCUGGGAUAUCAUCGUCAUUUCUAGGGCUCUUACCUGCAGGCUCGUGAGCUCCUGACCUUGGAGUCUACUUGUAUGGUAGAGAUGGAGACUUUCUUUAGAAAUAGCCUUCUUGGGUGUGCUUCUGUUGUUGCUGUUGUGAACACGGGCAGCUUAGUCUCCAUGUGGUUGUCUUUCUCCAUCUAUAAACUGUGGAACGUGAUAUUUACAAUAUGCCCAGCUGAUGGGGAGUCUCAUAAAAUAAAGUAAUUACAAA